GUGCAUGAAGUUGGGUUUUGUGAAGGGAGCUGAAAAGGGUUGAGAACGGAACGGAAGGAGAGGUUGGAGGGGUCGGAGAGGGAAGGUUUGGAGGACACAAGCAUUGUGAGAUUGGAGCAAGACAUUGUUUGUCGAUCUUGUGUUUGAGAAGAUUGAGGAGGCUGUUGGUGUGUGGGUUUGGUUGCUUUAUUUUGAGAUUUUUUUUCCUCCUUGUUUUUGUUUCUGUGAGUGUGAGAGAGAGGUCUUAUCCUCUCCUUGUGUUAAUGGGUUGUUUUGUGUUGUGUUGGGUUAGGAUUCUCAAUUGCCAUGGAAGUUACAAGUGGAAAAUG
rnacentral:lncRNA from 1 species